CCCCAGUGGCCACAAGUACUUUGCUGGU
rnacentral:piRNA from 1 species